GUGAGUCAUCGAAUCUUUGAACGCACAUUGCGCCUCUCGGUAUUCCGGGAGGCACGCCUGUUCGAGCGCCAUUACACACCCCAAGCUUGGCUUGAUGUUGGACGACGUCUGUAACGAGACGGGUCUGGAACGUGUAGGCGCCGCCGCCGGACCACGAGCGUAGCAAGACGCAAGUCAGUCGCUUCUGUGGGCACGGAUGGACGGCCGCCGAGAGCACCUGGUAACGCAGGGCUCGAGCAACGAUUUUUAGUUUGGCCUCGGAUCAGGCGGGGAUACCCGCUGAACUUAAGCAUAUCAAUA
rnacentral:misc_RNA from 1 species